GUAAACGAAACUGUAUCAACAAAUCGGUAUGGUAUGGUGAAAGGCUCGGUCAUUCAUAGGACACUAACAACGUAUUAGAUUUGCCAUGGAUAGUGUUGGCAAGGAAUGUCAAGAGUUAAAGCAAAGCAAUUAAAGAAAAGAAUCUUAACUUAGAGGCUAUAGAAGAACAAGUUCUAGGAACUGCUAAAGAAAAACAGCCACCAUCACACACAGUUUGACGUCUACUAAUGUCCAGGCUCUAGACCACUACUGAAAAAAAACAACAGAAAUAAACUGCUUCCAGAAACUUUUAAGAACUUUUUUUUGUAUAUUCUUACAACUUGUUCAAUUGUAAAAAGUACUGUAUGGGCUUCUGAAACUAGCAUUUAAAAUCCAAAGUUCACUUUGAAGACACAGUUGCUUGUGAAAUGUAGGAUUGCAAUUGUUAAGGUCUUCAUGUUCUUUUAUUUCCUCCCUUCCCCAAUUACGUUUGAUUCAUGAACAAUUGUCUAAAUUGCUUUAAAUAAGCCCCAUGUUGUUUGUUUGAUAAAUAGUAUGUUAAUGUGUGAAUCAUGGAAAAUUAUAAUGCUGUGUAUUAAUUUUAAUACCGUGUUUAUGUUUGAUUGCCACUUGUAGCAGUGAGUGGCAACUGGUAUGAAAGUGAAUGAUUUAAAGUAAAGUUGAUUGUUUCUAUUUUUUUUUUUUAACUUUGUUGAAGCCACCCAUGAAGGUGAAUGGUUGAAACUCAUGUAUAUAAUUAUUCUUUUAACUUUUCUAAUGUUAAACAAUGUAUAAUUAAAUAUAUAUAUGUAUAUAGAAUAACCCUAUAUUUUGUGUUAUUUACUAUUUGCACUAUUUUGUAUUGUUGUCAUUUUAAACUUCUUUCUCUUUAUUACAAGAUCCACAUGUGAUACAUGAAGUGAGUUUACUUUCAAUAAACUAAGUUGAUUGGCUGACA